ACCCGGCUUUUUGGGAUUCGCUCCCACCUUACGGGUAUCGCAGCCCUUUGUACCGGCCCAUUGUAGCAUGCGUGAAGCCCAAGACAUAAAGGGGCAUGAUGAUUUGACGUCAUCCCCACCCUCCUCCGAGUUGACCCCGGCAGUCUCCUAUGAGUCCCCGCCAUAACGCGCUGGCAACAUAGAACGAGGGUUGCGCUCGUUGCGGGACUUAACCCAACAUCUCACGACACGAGCUGACGACAACCAUGCACCACCUGUACACCGACCACAAGGGGGCAACCAUCUCUGGCCGUUUCCGGUGUAUGUCAAGCCUUGGUAAGGUUCUUCGCGUUGCAUCGAAUUAAUCCGCAUGCUCCGCCGCUUGUGCGGGCCCCCGUCAAUUCCUUUGAGUUUUAGCCUUGCGGCCGUACUCCCCAGGCGGGGCGCUUAAUGCGUUAGCUACGACACAGAAACCGUGGAAAGGUCCCUACAUCUAGCGCCCAACGUUUACGGCGUGGACUACCAGGGUAUCUAAUCCUGUUCGCUCCCCACGCUUUCGCUCCUCAGCGUCAGUUACGGCCCAGAGAUCUGCCUUCGCCAUCGGUGUUCCUCCUGAUAUCUGCGCAUUCCACCGCUACACCAGGAAUUCCAAUCUCCCCUACCGCACUCUAGUCUGCCCGUACCCACUGCAAGCCCGAGGUUGAGCCUCGGGAUUUCACAGCAGACGCGACAAACCGCCUACGAGCUCUUUACGCCCAAUAAUUCCGGACAACGCUUGCACCCUACGUAUUACCGCGGCUGCUGGCACGUAGUUAGCCGGUGCUUUUUCUGCAGGUACCGUCACUUACGCUUCUUCCCUACUAAAAGAGGUUUACAACCCGAAGGCCGUCAUCCCUCACGCGGCGUUGCUGCAUCAGGCUUUCGCCCAUUGUGCAAUAUUCCCCACUGCUGCCUCCCGUAGGAGUCUGGGCCGUGUCUCAGUCCCAGUGUGGCCGGUCACCCUCUCAGGCCGGCUACCCGUCGUCGCCUUGGUGAGCCAUUACCUCACCAACAAGCUGAUAGGCCGCGAGUCCAUCCCCAACCAAAAAAUCUUUCCACCACCAGACCAUGCGGCCGGCAGUCAUAUCCAGUAUUAGACGUCGUUUCCAACGCUUAUCCCAGAGUCAGGGGCAGGUUACUCACGUGUUACUCACCCGUUCGCCACUAAUCCACCCAGCAAGCUGGGCAUCAUCGUUCGACUUGCAUGUGUUAAGCACGCCGCCAGCGUUCGUCCUGA
rnacentral:rRNA from 1 species